rnacentral:piRNA from 1 species
UGCUAAAGUCCUAUCCUAGAGAAACCAAUU